rnacentral:rRNA from 1 species
CACGUAAGUUGCGAGCGUUGUUCGGAAUUAUUGGGCGUAAAGGGCAUGUAGGCGGUUUUGCAAGCUUGGUGUGAAAUGCCGGAGCUUAACUCCGGAAUUGCGUUGAGAACUGCAUAACUAGAGUCACUGAGGGGCAAUCAGAAUUCCAGGUGUAGGGGUGAAAUCUGUAGAUAUCUGGAAGAAUACCAAUGGCGAAAGCAGGUUACCAGCAGAUGACUGACGCUGAGGUGCGAAGGUGCGGGGAGCAAACAGG